rnacentral:rRNA from 1 species
UACGAAGGGGGCUAGCGUUGUUCGGAAUUACUGGGCGUAAAGCGUGCGCAGGCGGCUUCUCAAGUCAGGGGUGAAAGCCCAGAGCUCAACUCUGGAAUUGCCUUUGAGACUGAGUGGCUUGAGUACGAGAGAGGUGAGUGGAAUUCCCAGUGUAGAGGUGAAAUUCGUAGAUAUCGAGAGGAACACCGGUGGCGAAGGCGGCCUUCUGGACAGUGACUGACGCUGAGACGCGAAAGCGUGGGGAGCAAACAGG